rnacentral:rRNA from 1 species
GACGAACGCUGGCGGCGUGCUUAACACAUGCAAGUCGAACGGAAAGGCCCUGCUUUUGUGGGGUGCCCGAGUGGCGAACGGGGGAGUAACACGUGAGUAACCUGCUCUUGACUUUGGGAUAACUUCAGGAAACUGGGGUUAAUACCGGAUAGGAGCCCCUCCUGCGUGGAGGGGGUUGGAAAGUCUCGGCGGUAGGGGAUGGACUCGCGGCUUAUCAGCUUGUUGGUGGGGUAGUGGCUUACCAAGGCUUUGACGGGUAGCCGGCCUGGGAGGGUGACCGGCCACAUUGGGACUGAGAUAGGGCCCAGAGUGCAACGGGAGGCAGCGGGGGGGAAUAUUGCACAAUGGGCGGGAGUCUGAUGCAGCAGCGCCGCGUGCGGGAUGACGGCCUUCGGGGUGUAAACCGCUGUCGCCUGUGACGAAGCGUGAGUGACGGUAAUGGGUAAAGAAGCACCGGCUAACUACGUG